CGAGCGGUAUUUAUUCUUCGGAAUAUUGAGAGCGGCGUACGGGUGCGUAACACGUGUGCAACCUACCUUUAUCAGGGGAAUAGCCUUUCGAAAGGAAGAUUAAUACUCCAUAAUAUAUAGACAGGCAUCUGCUUAUAUUGAAAACUCCGGUGGAUAGAGAUGGGCACGCGCAAGAUUAGAUAGUUGGUGAGGUAACGGCUCACCAAGUCAUUGAUCUUUAGGGGUCCUGAGAGGGAGAUCCCCCACACUGGUACUGAGACACGGACCAGACUCCUACGGGAGGCAGCAGUGAGGAAUAUUGGACAAUGGGUGAGAGCCUGAUCCAGCCAUCCCGCGUGAAGGAUGACGGUCCUACGGAUUGUAAACUUCUUUUGUACAGGGAUAAACCCAGAUACGUGUAUCUGGCUGAAGGUACUGUACGAAUAAGCACCGGCUAACUCCGUGCCAGCAGCCGCGGUAAUACGGAGGGUGCGAGCGUUAUCCGGGAUUUAUUGGGUUUAAAGGGUCCGCAGGCGGACCAAUAAGUCAGUGGUGAAAUCUCAUAGCUUAACUAUGAAACUGCCGUUGAUACUGUUGGUCUUGAGUAAAUUAGAGGUAGCUGGAAUAAGUAGUGUAGCGGUGAAAUGCAUAGAUAUUACUUAGAACACCAAUUGCGAAGGCAGGUUACCAUAAUUUAACUGACGCUGAGGGACGAAAGCGUGGGGAGCGAACAGGAUUAGAUACCCUGGUAGUCCACGCCGUAAACGAUGCUAACUCGUUUUUGGAUUUUCGGAUUCAGAGACCAAGCGAAAGUGAUAAGUUAGCCACCUGGGGAGUACGUUCGCAAGAAUGAAACUCAAAGGAAUUGACGGGGGCCCGCACAAGCGGUGGAUUAUGUGGUUUAAUUCGAUGAUACGCGAGGAACCUUACCAAGACUUAAAUGGGAAUUGACAGGUUUAGAAAUAGACUCUCCUUCGGGCAAUUUUCAAGGUGCUGCAUGGUUGUCGUCAGCUCGUGCCGUGAGGUGUAGGUUAAGUCCUGCAACGAGCGCAACCCCUGUCACUAGUUGCUAACAUUUAGUUGAGGACUCUAGUGAGACUGCCUACGCAAGUAGAGAGGAAGGUGGGGAUGACGUCAAAUCAUCACGGCCCUUACGUCUUGGGCCACACACGUAAUACAAUGGCCGGUACAGAGGGCAGCUACCAGCGAUGUGAUGCAAAUCUCGAAAGCCGGUCUCAGUUCGGAUUGGAGUCUGCAACUCGACUCUAUGAAGCUGGAAUCGCUAGUAAUCGCGCAUCAGCCAUGGCGCGGUGAAUACGUUCCCGGGCCUUGUACACACCGCCCGUCAAGCCAUGGAAGUUUGGGGUACCUGAAGUCGGUGACC
rnacentral:rRNA from 1 species